rnacentral:rRNA from 1 species
AGAACGAACGCUGGCGGCAUGCCUAAUACAUGCAAGUCGAACGAACACUUCGGUGUUAGUGGCGCACGGGUGCGUAACGCGUGGGAAUCUGCCCUUGGGUUCGGAAUAACAGUUGGAAACGACUGCUAAUACCGGAUGAUAUCGAAAGAUCAAAGAUUUAUCGCCCAGGGAUGAGCCCGCGUAGGAUUAGCUAGUUGGUGAGGCAAAGGCUCACCAAGGCGACGAUCCUUAGCUGGUCUGAGAGGAUGAUCAGCCGCACUGGGACUGAGACGCGGCCCAGACUCCUACGGAGGCAGCAGUGGGGAAUAUUGGACAAUGGG